rnacentral:rRNA from 1 species
GUGGGGAAUUUUGGACAAUGGGCGCAAGCCUGAUCCAGCAAUGCCGCGUGUGUGAAGAAGGCCUUCGGGUUGUAAAGCACUUUUGUCCGGAAAGAAAUCUCCUGGGUUAAUACCUCGGGGGGAUGACGGUACCGGAAGAAUAAGCACCGGCUAACUACGUGCCAGCAGCCGCGGUAAUACGUAGGGUGCGAGCGUUAAUCGGAAUUACUGGGCGUAAAGCGUGCGCAGGCGGCUAUGCAAGACAGAUGUGAAAUCCCCGGGCUCAACCUGGGAACUGCAGUUGUGACUGCAUGGCUAGAGUGCGUCAGAGGGAGGUGGAAUUCCGCGUGUAGCAGUGAAAUGCGUAGAGAUGCGGAGGAACACCGAUGGCGAAGGCAGCCUCCUGGGAUGACACUGACGCUCAUGCACGAAAGCGUGGGGAUCAAACAGGAUUAGAAACCCCAGUAGUCC